rnacentral:lncRNA from 12 species
CCCGUCUUAUGCCAUAUUUACAAAAAUCAAUGAGUUUAAUUAUUCUUUCUCUUCUCUUUUGCAGCUAAGAAGUUAAAAUUUCUUCAGGAGAAAAAAAAAGAUAAUAUAAUCGUCGGAAUCCUUUGCUCACACACCAAAAUGAUUUUGAAAAUCGA